rnacentral:tRNA from 1 species
GGGGCUGUAGCUCAGUUGGCUAGAGUGCUUGACUGGCAGUCAAGAGGUCGUGGGUUCGAUUCCCAUCAGCUCCA